rnacentral:rRNA from 1 species
CCUACGGGAGGCAGCAGUGAGGAAUAUUGGUCAAUGGACGAGAGUCUGAACCAGCCAAGUAGCGUGAAGGAUGACUGCCCUAUGGGUUGUAAACUUCUUUUAUAUGGGAAUAAAAUGUUCCACGUGUGGGAUUUUGUAUGUACCAUAUGAAUAAGGAUCGGCUAACUCCGUGCCAGUAGCCGCGGUAAUACGGAGGAUCCGAGCGUUAUCCGGAUUUAUUGGGUUUAAAGGGAGCGUAGGUGGAUUGUUAAGUCAGUUGUGAAAGUUUGCGGCUCAACCGUAAAAUUGCAGUUGAAACUGGCAGUCUUGAGUACAGUAGAGGUGGGCGGAAUUCGUGGUGUAGCGGUGACAUGCUUAGAUAUCACGAAGAACUCCGAUUGCGAAGGCAGCUCACUGGACUGCAACUGACACUGAGGCUCGAAAGUGUGGGUAUCAAACAGGAUUAGAUACCCUUGUAGUC